GGGUCUUGUGGCAUAGAUGGCUUGGGUAACCUUCAGCAUGUAAGGGUGUAGGUCUGUAGGUAACAGCAUAGCUAAUCUUCAUGAGGUGGAAGUGGGUUCUGACCACGUAUUGCAGCUAAGCUUGGCCAUUUAUAGGUCAGGAGCACGGGAACCUCGGUACCUAUAUGUUGCUGAAACACUACGGGUGUUGGAGGACAAUAAGUAGGGAUUCUGGGGCCCCAUGCUGGCAUCACACUCAGGUUCUGUGAUGAGUUUGAUGUUCUAGGCAAAGAUGAAACAGUGCACAGAUUGAGGUGCACUGAAAGAGAUCUCUUGCUUCUGUUUUACAGAGCCACAGUCACUGUCAAGAUGCCAAGUCCCUCCCCACCUGAGAAGAGAGAUUCCUGGUGGCCAGUGGAUCAAUGCCUCAGUGGUGAGCGGAGGUGUUGGUGACACAGUGGUGACAAAAAUGCCAGUGAGGCUUUUCCAGACAAGACAUCCACAAAUAAAAGAACAGCAGAAGAAUUGUUUCCUGCAGCAUGCCAUGCCUCUGUAGCCAGCUCUAUCUCCUGGGCCUUCACUGAGCCAUAUCUACAGGCCCACAGUUACCUUCUCAGGUUAGAGGUUCUGGACACAAAGCCAUUGGCAACAUGUAAAGAGAAAGGAUCCCUCAACAAUGUCUGUAUGUCUGUGUCUUAGGUUAGUGCAAGACAACCUGACUGAGGAAGGCAAAAACUUGCCUUAAAAAAGAAACAAGAAAACGCCUACACCCUCAGGAGAAGCAAAGGAAAAAGGUGAAGAAAGAGAGGAAUAGGAUGGAAGCCAACUGAGGGGACUUUUCUCUGCCCUUUCUUUUUCAAGAUGGGAUUAACUGAGAACUCUUGGUAUAGCAGAAGAAAUCAUUCCUGGAAAAGAGAAGGCCUUAUUGCAAAUGGUGAAAAUGCAAUUCUUGCCUUCCACUUACCCCAGCUCCCCAGUAGCUCUGCCAUCAGGAAGCACUUUACCGUGUGAGUGAUGGAACACUGGAAUAAGCUGCCCAAAGAGGUUGUGGAGUUUCCCUCCUUGGAGAUCUUCAAAAGCUUCCUGGACAUGGUCCUGGGUGACCAGCUCUAGGUGGCCCUGCUUGAGCAGGUGGUUGGACCAGAUGGCCUGCACAGGCCCUUCCAAACUCAACAGUCUAUGAUUCUGUGAUUUCUCCAUUGACUUAAAACUUUCUUAGAUUUCUUUUUAGUUACAGAAUGUUAAUUACUGAUAACGUUUGUUUAUUGUUGAUCUUGGACAAAAUAAAACAGAAAAAAAAAUAAACUGUUCUUAAUCU
rnacentral:lncRNA from 1 species